AGCGAACGCUGGCGGCAGGCCUAACACAUGCAAGUCGAACGGAUCCUUCGGGAUUAGUGGCGGACGGGUGAGUAACACGUGGGAACGUGCCCUUUGGUUCGGAACAACUCAGGGAAACUUGAGCUAAUACCGGAUGUGCCCUUCGGUGGAAAGAUUUAUCGCCAUUGGAGCGGCCCGCGUCUGAUUAGCUAGUUGGUGAGGUAAAGGCUCACCAAGGCGACGAUCAGUAGCUGGUCUGAGAGGAUGAUCAGCCACAUUGGGACUGAGACACGGCCCAAACUCCUACGGGAGGCAGCAGUGGGGAAUCUUGCGCAAUGGGCGAAAGCCUGACGCAGCCAUGCCGCGUGAAUGAUGAAGGUCUUAGGAUUGUAAAAUUCUUUCACCGGGGACGAUAAUGACGGUACCCGGAGAAGAAGCCCCGGCUAACUUCGUGCCAGCCGCCCCGUAAAAC
rnacentral:rRNA from 1 species